AUGGGAAGUCCACUAAAAAUUCCCAAGAUCCUUCUUUCUUCAGAGUUGAGAUGUGGGAAUGAAGAGUCACAGAUUCACUGGACCCAGAUUGCUGGAAACGGAAUCAAACUCCAAAAGUCUUGUCAGCAGAAUGGAUCCAUCUCUUUGGAUCACGGCCAAGCGGCUUUAGCCCAAGCGGCAAUGAACUGCACGCAGCUCCAGUUGGUCCUCACGGACGUCCUGAAGACGGAACAGGGGCAGGCCUACCUAGACAGGAAGCUGCGUGGCAAGAUGACAGGAACUGGAGAGAGGAAAAGAGAGUCACCGAUGGGGAGCGGGCAAAGGAGGGUGUCUCAGAGUAGCAGAGAGGGGAGGGAGGAUUGUAGAGAUUUUAUAGCACACAGAAAGAGACCCCAUGACCACCCCACUCCCACCUCGACCCCGACCCGCAAGGAGAGGAGGUAAUGCUUGGUUAAAUGUUGCUGAAUUCAGCUUGGCUGUUUGAGAGGGGACGCUGUAUGCAGAUUAAUUUCUGUAGAUGAUUACAGUGGAGUCUGUUAAGUGUAGGGAACAUGUCUUCCUUUUUAGGAUGCCAGUGAACGAUUUAAGAGUUAAAACACAGCACAAGGUCAGCAUGCAGUGGAAUAAUAGUUUUUCUAUGACUUUUUCUUUCUCUCUUGUUUAGGUCACACCACAGAGGGGGGUCAGAGGAAGACGAGGAGGUGAAGGAACUUUUAAUAGGAGAGGAAAACAUCAAAGACCAGAGAUGCAGUGAGUCCGCCAUCACACACACACACACACACUCCCCCUGCUACUGCGUUCCCUAUCUCCCCCUUUCUGAGGGUUUUCCUUAUUGGAAAGGAUCUAUAAUAUUCCUGUCCUCAAUCCUGCUGUAAAGUAACAAACUCUUUUACCUUUAUAGAGCAAAAACAAAGACCUGCUGAAUGUGCUUUUCAUCUCUUGCUAACACACACAGGCAAAGUUGAUUUAAUUCUAUGUUACGGUCAUUUGUUUUCCCAUAUCUGCUGCACUACUUUCUGGAGAGUAGUAACACGUUUAUUGUUUCACCGUCUCUCUCCUCUGCAGACAGUAGUGUGUCAGGGAGGCACAGUUCACGGGAACCCCUGGAGGAGGUGACCUUUACUGAGGGGGACAUGCACCAGGAAAAGCCUUACCCACAAUCCACCAGGACUAGGAAGGCAGAUUCAGGUUCAAGCGAAUCCACACAUGUUGAGAGGGAGAGUUGGAGGAGGGAGUCUGGGCUCUACAGUAAUGGACAGGUGAAUGAUGGAGUGGCAGAGGGCUUGACCACAGACGCCUCCAGGAGCUCCAGAGGGAGCAUGCUGCACCUCUCCAGGGAGGCCAGAGGCGGGGGAGGACUACCCCCCAAACAGCUGUGUCUGGGGGGGACGGGGGGCAUAGACACUAAUGUAGCAUCCAUAGAAGUAGAGGUGGACCCCUCAAACUUUGACGGGACCCCGAUGGUAGUCACUGUGGGGGAAGACAGGGAAGUUGCCAUCUCCUCUAACCCCAGCUGUGGAGGGGUUAAUGAGAGGAGAGGAACCCUGUCCUCCAGCCAGGAUAGGAUGCCCAAACUCAGUCCUGUUGAACCCAGUGAGUAUAGAGCUACGUAUAGGCUAUCAUAUUGUACACUGCAUAUCUGCACUCCUGGUGUGUCUAGCUUUGUGUGUGUGUGUGUGUGUGAGAUCCCCACCCUUCCCUCCUCCUGGAAUAGCGUCAUCAUAAUAUAG
rnacentral:lncRNA from 1 species